AUUUAGCCCUGAUCGAAGUGAUAUCCUUUGUGGUUUUCCUUUAAAACCACAAAGAUUUAACGAAGAGCAGGAACCAUA
rnacentral:sRNA from 1 species